GCUCUCAUAGCGUAGUGGUUAUCACGUCUGCUUUACACGCAGAAGGUCCCAGGUUCGAGCCCUGGUGGGAGCA
rnacentral:tRNA from 1 species